AGAGAGUCAAACAGUACGUGAAACCGUCGGGAGGGAAACGAACGAGGUUGGUGCAGUGAUUGCGCAGGCUCAGGCUCGGCCGAAGGUGCCGUCGCGGUGACCAGAGCGUCCCGUGGCGUCCGCCGGAGGCAGAGCCGUACUCCUCGCGAGCACGGACCAGCGGCGGUCGGAGCGGGGCCACAAGGCCGCGGGUACGGUACGUCGGGUCGGGCUUCGGCUCGCCCGACGACUUAUAGACCAGCGAUCCGGCGUCCCGCUUUGACCGAGGAAGGAGGGCAGCUCUUGCCCGGUGUGGUGCACGCCGUACGGCGGGGCCUCCCGUCGAGGGCGAGUCGCGCUGCGUGGACUGCGUGCAGUGCUCACGGUUGCGGCGGACCCACGGUCGGAGAGCGUCACUUGUGCACCAGUGCCGCUGGUAUUGGGACGGCCUCGUCCGACCCGUCUUGAAACACGGA
rnacentral:rRNA from 1 species